rfam:Parcubacteria bacterium GW2011_GWA2_37_10 TS35_C0033, whole genome shotgun sequence.
GAGAUCUUUGGAAAACACCAUUAGGUGGAUAACUAGGUUUAGUUUACUGAUGAAGGACGUGGCAAGCUGCGAAAAGUCUUGGCUAGGCGCAUGCAGCCUUUGAACCAAGAAUUUCUGAAUCAGACUUCUGAAUCUCUUCGGAGAUAUGUUGGAAACAACAGGGAACGCAGGGAAUUGAAGCGUCUUAGUACCUGCAGGAAAAGAUAUCAAUAGAUAUGCUGAAAGUAAGGGCGACCGAAAUCAGCAAAAGGCAAACUGAAUCUGUUAUUGAAAAAUAACAGAGAUGUGGUGUUUUAGGCUAAUAUUUAAUCUUAACCAAAAGACCUGAAGUUUUCUGGAAAGAAACACUUUAAAGGGUGAUAGUCCCGUAGGGGAAAUUUGGAAAGAUUGAGUUAGUACUAGAGUAGUGCUUACUGGAUACUAAGCAUGAAUUUGGGAGGCAUUAACUCCUAACUUUAAAUAUAAACUAAGUCCGAUAGCACAUAAGUACUGUGAAGGAAAGUUGAAAAGAACUUUUAAUCAGGAGUUAAAAGACUUGAAACCUAAUGGUAAUAGAAUAUUACGGCUCUUAGGAGUUGUAAUGUACGUUUCGAAUAACGGACUAGGAAGUGUAUUUGAGUGGCGAAGAUAAUCUUAAUAUUAGAGUAUCUAAAGGGAAACCAAUUUUCCGCAAUUUAUGAGGGAAAAGGUAUGAAAAUGCCUUUGAGUCACUUGAGUACGACCCGAAACCAGGCGAUCUAUCCUAGAGCAUGGUGAAGUGAGAUUUAAAAUCUUAUGGAGGCCAGAAGAGAUACUACGUGCAUGUGUUCUUCUGACUUUAGGAUAGGGGUGAAAAGCCAAUCGAGCCUGGUGAUAGCUGGUUCCUGCUGAAAUAGGCCGUAGUCUAGUGUUAGAAGAGAUAACUAAGAUUGUAGAGCUACGGAUAGAGAGUUUAGGAGGAGAAAUCCUUCGGCUUUCUGUCCAACUCCAAAUGUUUUAGUAUCGUAGAAUCUAAUAAACGGGGAUGCGGGGUAAGCUCGUAUUCCAAGAGGGGAACAUCCCAGACCAUAGUUAAGGUCCCUAAAUGUUAGUUAAGUGUGAACGGGUGAAAGGUGUUCAUAACCAUAGACAGAGGGGAGGUUUGCUUAGAAGCAGCAAUCCUUUAAAGAAAGCGUAACAGCUCACCCUUCAAGGUUAUGUGCCCUGAAAAUGGACGGGACUAAACUAACUACCGAUACUAUGGACUUCUUAUAAAGAAGGGGUAAGCAGGCAUUCUAUUAGGGCAGAAGUUUUUUUGUAAAAGAAAAUGGACCUAAUAGAGAAGAGAAUCCUAGUGGUAGUAGGAUCUAUAUAUGGUGAGAAUCCAUAUUACUGAAAGGGCCAGGGUUUCUUAGCAAUAAAGUUUAGCUAAGAGUAAGUCGAUCCUAACUCAGUUCCUAACAGAAACUGGGGAAAGGGCAAAAGGUUAAGAUUCCUUUACUAUUUAGGUACUUAUGGUAACAUAAGUUUGAUCUCUGACAUUUUGGGUUAGAUUGACAUUUACUAUCGUAAAUGCUAAUUAGAAUAAAUCAAUAGAGUACUGUAAUGGUGAGAAAUUGAUUAAAUCUAAGAAUGGUUGGCCUUAUGGCUGAUUUGAUUGAUACCUGGGAUUGAUAAAAAGGAGAUUAAACGGAUCCUAAAUAAUCGUACCUAGAACCAACACUGGUGCCCCUAGGUGAGAAGCCUAAAGUAUUAGGGUUUAAUCUAGUUGAGGGAAUUCGGCAAGUUGGCUCUGUGACUUCGGUUUAAAGAGUCCCUGGGAUUGUAAUCGUAUGAUUGCAAUUUCAGGGUGCAAUGACAAGGGACGUCCGACUGUUUAACAAAAACGUAACUUAUUGCUAAUCUGUAAAGAUUUAUAUAAUAAGUGACAUCUGCCCAGUACUAGUAUCUCAAACUUCUUUUCAAGGAAGCUAAGGACUAGCAAACGGCGGGAAUAACUGUAAUUCUCUUAAGGUUAAUUCGUAGCUUUAAGACCCAAAGUUAAACAGAAUAACUAAAAAGAUUGGGAUAAUAAUUUGGCUAUAUGCUGGAAAGUCCGGGUAUCUCACACUACCAUAAAUUUUAUUAAGGUAUAA